rnacentral:rRNA from 1 species
UACGGAGGGUGCAAGCGUUAUCCGGAUUCACUGGGUUUAAAGGGUGCGUAGGCGGGUUGGUAAGUCCGUGGUGAAAUCCCCAAGCUUAACUUGGGAACUGCCGUGGAUACUAUCAAUCUUGAAUAUCGUGGAGGUAAGCGGAAUAUGUCAUGUAGCGGUGAAAUGCUUAGAUAUGACACAGAACACCGAUUGCGAAGGCAGCUCACAAAACUGUAACUGACGCUGAGGCACGAAAGCGUGGGUAUCAAACAGG